rnacentral:rRNA from 1 species
CCUACGGGAGGCAGCAGUGAGGCAUAUUGGUCAAUGGACGAGAGUCUGAACCAGCCAAGUAGCGUGAAGGAUGACUGCCCUAUGGGUUGUAAACUUCUUUUAUAUGGGAAUAAAAUGUUCCACGUGUGGGAUUUUGUAUGUACCAUAUGAAUAAGGAUCGGCUAACUCCGUGCCAGCAGCCGCGGUAAUACGGAGGAUCCGAGCGUUAUCCGGAUUUAUUGGGUUUAAAGGGAGCGUAGGUGGAUUGUUAAGUCAGUUGUGAAAGUUUGCGGGUCAACCGUAAAAUUGCAGUUGAAACUGGCAGUCUUGAGUACAGUAGAGGUGGGCGGAAUUCGUGGUGUAGCGGUGAAAUGCUUAGAUAUCACGAAGAACUCCGAUUGCGAAGGCAGUUCACUGGACUGCAACUGACACUGAGGCUCGAAAGUGUGGGUAUCAAACAGGAUUAGAUACCCUUGUAGUC